rnacentral:rRNA from 1 species
GACGAACGCUGGCGGCGUGCCUAAUACAUGCAAGUAGAACGCUGAAGGAGGAGCUUGCUUCUCUGGAUGAGCUGCGAACGGGUGAGUAACGCGUAGGUAACCUGCCUGGUAGCGGGGGAUAACUAUUGGAAACGAUAGCUAAUACCGCAUAAUAUUGACUAUUGCAUGAUAGUCAGUUGAAAGGUGCAACUGCACCACUACCAGAUGGACCUGCGUUGUAUUAGCUAGUUGGUGGGGUAACGGCUCACCAAGGCGACGAUACAUAGCCGACCUGAGAGGGUGAUCGGCCACACUGGGACUGAGACACGGCCCAGACUCCUACGGGAGGCAGCAGUAGGGAAUCUUCGGCAAUGGACGGAAGUCUGACCGAGCAACGCCGCGUGAGUGAAGAAGGUUUUCGGAUCGUAAAGCUCGGUUGUAAGAGAAGAACGAGUGUGAGAGUGGAAAGCUCACACUGUGACGGUAUCUUACCAGAAAGGGACGGCUAACUACGUG